GAUUGCCUUAGUAACUGCGAGUGAAGCGGCAAAAGCUCAAAUUUGAAAUCGGUGUUCAUAAAGUACGCUGAGUUGUAAUUUGGAGGGACAACUUCGGAAUGAACCACACCGUAAGUUUUUUGGAACAGGACAUCAUAGAGGGUGAGAAUCCCGUGUCUUGGUGUAGGGUCAAACCAUGUGAAGUGUCUCCGACGAGUCGAGUUGUUUGGGAAUGCAGCUCAAAAUGGGUGGUAAAUUUCAUCUAAAGCUAAAUAUUGGCGAGAGACCGAUAGCGCACAAGUAGAGUGAUCGAAAGAUGAAAAGCACUUUGAAAAGAGAGUUAAAAAGUACGUGAAAUUGUUGAAAGGGAAGCGCUUGCGACCAGACUCGAUCUUUGGUGAUCAGCCGGGCUUCGGUUCGGUGUCCUUGCCAUUGAUUGGGCCAGCAUCGGUUCUGACGGUGGGAUAAAAGGAGGAGGAAUGUGGCUCCCCUCGGGGAGUGUUAUAGCCACCUUCACAAUGCUACCAGUUGGGACCGAGGACCGCGCUUCGGCUAGGAUGCUGGCGUAAUGGUCUUAAGCGACCCGUCUUGAAACACGGACCAAGGAGUCUAACAUCUAUGCGAGUGUUCGGGUGGAAAACCCUUGCGCGUAAUUAAAGUGAACGGAGGUGUGAACCCUUUAACGGGGGCGCAACAUCGACCGGUCCUGAUGUCUUCGGAAGGAUCUGAGUAAGAGCAUAGCUGUUGGGACCCGAAAGAUGGUGAACUAUGCCUGAAUAGGGUGAAGCCAGAGGAAACUCUGGUGGAGGCUCGCAGCGGUUCUGA
rnacentral:rRNA from 1 species